GUGGGGAAUUUUGGACAAUGGGCGAAAGCCUGAUCCAGCCAUGCCGCGUGCAGGAUGAAGGCCUUCGGGUUGUAAACUGCUUUUGUACGGAACGAAAAGACUCCUUCUAAUAAAGGGGGUCCAUGACGGUACCGUAAGAAUAAGCACCGGCUAACUACGUGCCAGCAGCCGCGGUAAUACGUAGGGUGCAAGCGUUAAUCGGAAUUACUGGGCGGACAGCGUGCGCAGUCGGGUAUAUAAGACAGAUGUGAAAUCCCCGGGCUCAACCUGGGAACUGCAUUUGUGACUGUAUAGCUAGAGUACGGUAGAGGGGGAUGGAAUUCCGCGUGUAGCAGUGAAAUGCGUAGAUAUGCGGAGGAACACCGAUGGCGAAGGCAAUCCCCUGGACCUGUACUGACGCUCAUGCACGAAAGCGUGGGGAGCAAACAGGAUUAGAUACCCGAGUAGUCC
rnacentral:rRNA from 1 species